AAUAGAGGCGCAAGCCUGAACCAGCCAUGCCGCGUGCAGGAAGACGGUCCUAUGGAUUGUAAACUGCUUUUAUUUGGGAAUAAACCUAUUUACGUGUAGAUAGCUGAAGGUACCAAAUGAAUAAGCACCGGCUAACUCCGUGCCAGCAGCCGCGGUAAUACGG
rnacentral:rRNA from 1 species